rnacentral:lncRNA from 1 species
UGGGACAGGCAAACAUGCCAAUUGUCAAAACUCAGUAUGACAAAUCUUCUUGAUCUUGAAAAUCCAAACAUUCUCGACUUUGGUGAAAGAACUUCCAAACUCAUGCCUGCACAGCAACCUCGGUAUUGAAGAUUCAGCCACCAUACUCAACACAUCACAACAAGGUCAAUCAGUCACUCACCCUACAACCACCAUAUCUGAUAUAUGAGUUGAACAGCAACGACAACAUCCUGCAAGUAGCUCGGGCAAAAGCAAAUCUUGCACCUGCUCUACAUACAUCAAACAUCAUCUGCAAGAG